rnacentral:misc_RNA from 1 species
AAUGUCGUAACAAGGUUUCCGUAGGUGAACCUGCGGAAGGAUCAUUAUCGAGGACAGGGCUCCUUCGGGGACCCGACCUCUUCAAGCCCACUGUUUCAUAAAUGCCCAAUGUUGCCUCGGCGAGACGUCGGUGUGCCUCGACAGAAGCCCGGCCUCGGACGCCCAUAAUAUUAGGGGAUUAGAGUGUUUACGCCGGCGGAAUUAUACACAAAAUCCCUUCUGAAAAGCCAGUACCUCUGAGUGAAGGAACUUAAAUCUUCAAAG